UACGGGGGGGGCAAGCGUUGUUCGGAAUUACUGGGCGUAAAGGGUUCGUAGGUGGCCAACUAAGUCAGACGUGAAAUCCCUCAGCUCAACUGGGGAACUGCGUCUGAUACUGGUUGGCUUGAGUGCAGGAGAGGAAUGCGGAAUUCCAGGUGUAGCGGUGAAAUGCGUAGAUAUCUGGAGGAACACCGGUGGCGAAGGCGGCGUUCUGGACUGCAACUGACACUGAGGAACGAAAGCCAGGGGAGCAAACGGG
rnacentral:rRNA from 1 species